AGAGUUUGAUCAUGGCUCAGGACGAACGCUGGCGGCAGGCCUAACACAUGCAAGUCGAGCGAUCCCUUCGGGGAUAGCGGCGGACGGGUUAGUAACGCGUGGGAACAUACCCUUCACUACGGAAUAGCCCAGGGAAACUUGGAUUAAUACCGUAUACGCCCCUCGGGGGAAAGAUUUAUCGGUGAAGGAUUGGCCCGCGUUGGAUUAGGUAGUUGGUGGGGUAAUGGCCUACCAAGCCUACGAUCCAUAGCUGGUUUGAGAGGAUGAUCAGCAACACUGGGACUGAGACACGGCCCAGACUCCUACGGGAGGCAGCAGUGGGGAAUCUUAGACAAUGGGGGAAACCCUGAUCUAGCGAUGCCGCGUGAGUGAUGAAGGCCUUAGGGUCGUAAAGCUCUUUCGCCAGGGAAGAUAAUGACUGUACCUGGUAAAGAAACCCCGGCUAACUCCGUGCCAGCAGCCGCGGUAAUACGGAGGGGGUUAGCGUUGUUCGGAAUUACUGGGCGUAAAGCGCACGUAGGCGGAUCAGAAAGUAAGAGGUGAAAUCCCAGGGCUCAACCCUGGAACUGCCUUUUAAACUCCUGGUCUUGAGUUCGAGAGAGGUGAGUGGAAUUCCAAGUGUAGAGGUGAAAUUCGUAGAUAUUUGGAGGAACACCAGUGGCGAAGGC
rnacentral:rRNA from 1 species